GACGAACGCUGGCGGCGUGCUUAACACAUGCAAGUCGAACGGAAAGGCCCUGCUUUUGUGGGGUGCUCGAGUGGCGAACGGGUGAGUAACACGUGAGUAACCUGCCCUUGACUUUGGGAUAACUUCAGGAAACUGGGGCUAAUACCGGAUAGGAGCUCCUGCUGCAUGGGGGGGGUUGGAAAGUUUCGGCGGUUGGGGAUGGACUCGCGGCUUAUCAGCUUGUUGGUGGGGUAGUGGCUUACCAAGGCUUUGACGGGUAGCCGGCCUGAGAGGGUGACCGGCCACAUUGGGACUGAGAUACGGCCCAGACUCCUACGGGAGGCAGCAGUGGGGAAUAUUGCACAAGGGGCGGAAGCCUGAUGCAGCAACGCCGCGUGCGGGAUGACGGCCUUCGGGUUGUAGACCGCUUUCGCCUGUGACGAAGCGUGAGUGACGGUAAUGGGUAAAGAAGCACCGGCUAACUACGUG
rnacentral:rRNA from 1 species